AACAAUCCGGUAUUAAUCUGCUGUCGAGCGAUGGAUUAAGAGCUUGCUCUUAUGAAGUUAGCGGCGGACGGGUGAGUAACACGUGGGUAACCUGCCCAUAAGACUGGGAUAACUCCGGGAAACCGGGGCUAAUACCGGAUAACAUUUUGAACCGCAUGGUUCGAAAUUGAAAGGCGGCUUCGGCUGUCACUUAUGGAUGGACCCGCGUCGCAUUAGCUAGUUGGUGAGGUAACGGCUCACCAAGGCAACGAUGCGUAGCCGACCUGAGAGGGUGAUCGGCCACACUGGGACUGAGACACGGCCCAGACUCCUACGGGAGGCAGCAGUAGGGAAUCUUCCGCAAUGGACGAAAGUCUGACGGAGCAACGCCGCGUGAGUGAUGAAGGCUUUCGGGUCGUAAAACUCUGUUGUUAGGGAAGAACAAGUGCUAGUUGAAUAAGCUGGCACCUUGACGGUACCUAACCAGAAAGCCACGGCUAACUACGUGCCA
rnacentral:rRNA from 1 species